GUCUACGGUCAUAUCACACUAAACAUACCCAAUCUCAUCUGAUCUCAGAAGCUAAGCAGGGUCUGGCCUGGUUAAUACUUCGAUGGCCAGAUU
rnacentral:rRNA from 1 species